AGCAGUAGCCACGGGAAUACAGAGGGUGCGAGCGUUAAUCGGAUUUACUGGGCGUAAAGCGUGCGUAGGCGGCUUUUUAAGUCGGAUGUGAAAUCCCUGAGCUUAACUUAGGAAUUGCAUUCGAUACUGGGAAGCUAGAGUAUGGGAGAGGAUGGUAGAAUUCCAGGUGUAGCGGUGAAAUGCGUAGAGAUCUGGAGGAAUACCGAUGGCGAAGGCAGCCAUCUGGCCUAAUACUGACGCUGAGGUACGAAAGCAUGGGGAGCAAACAGGAUUAGAUACCCCAGUAGUCCCUGUCUCUUAUAA
rnacentral:rRNA from 1 species